GGAGGGAAAAAUAUUGAAGUUGAUAUAUCUCGUUUUCUUGCAGGAUCUGAAUUGUUUCUUCUGGAAGUGUAUUAUCAAGCUUUCCUUCGUAUGUGUCCCCCUAUUUUCAUAAUAUAUAAUAUAAUCAUUUGUUUUGGUAUUUUUAUUGUAUUGAUAAAAUGAUAAAAGUAUCACGUACCUUGAUGUCAAUACAAAGAAACGAUGUUCCAAGAUACUGGUUAUUUUUUUUAUGAUUGAAAAUACGCCACAUACGACAUAUACGAACCAAUUUUGGUGACAUUGACAACUCAUUUUCUCUGAAAAAAUAAGAGAAACACAUUACUUAUAUGGGGAAUUAAUUUAGAUUAUCAGGUCACCCAAUUUGAUAUUAGAUGAGAAUAACAUAUUUCUUUCACAUAUUUCAUAGAAUACAGUUUUAUGAACAAUAACUUCAUGAAACUCCUAAAGUUUUUGCUUAAAACAAAACCUAACUAAAUAAGUCUCUAUUUUCUGUUAGGCAACAGAUGGUUGACCGUUUGUCAUUUAAUCACAUUAUCUAAUAUUGGCCAAGACAUAACUUGGUCUUCCAAGUAAAAAUGAAAAAGCCUGAAGACAUGUAAACCAUUCUAAAAAAAAACAUUGCCACAGAUUGCAAUACACUUCGACAUUCAUGGGUAGCACUAUCUCUAGGUGACCAUUUCAACUUUCUUAUGAUUAAAAGAUUAUCAAUGUGUGUUAGUCAGAGACUGUUAAAUGAUCCAGAACUC
rnacentral:lncRNA from 1 species